GACGGGCCCGCACAAGCAGCGGAGCGUGUGGUUUAAUUCGAUGUUACACGAAGAACCUUACCAGGGUUUGACAUGCAAGUGGUAGGAAGCCGAAAGGUGACCGACCCUUCGGGGAGCUUGCACAGGUGCUGCAUGGCUGCGUCAGCUCGUGUCGUGAGAUGUUCGGUUAAGUCCGCUAACGAGCGCAACCCUCGCUGUGUGUUAUAUGUGUCACACGGGACUGCCGGUCUUAAGCCGGAGGAAGGUGGGGAUGAUGUCAAGUCAGCAUGGCCUUUAUAUCCUGGGCUACACACACGCUACAAUGGCCAACACAAUAGGUUGCUAAGCCGCGAGGUGGCGCCAAUCCAUAAAGUUGGUCUCAGUUCAGAUUGUAGGCUGCAACCCGCCUGCAUGAAGAUGGAGUUGCUAGUAACCGCAGGUCAGCUAUACUGCGGUGAAUACGUUCCCGGGGCUU
rnacentral:rRNA from 1 species